rnacentral:rRNA from 1 species
UAGGGAAUCUUCCACAAUGGACGCAAGUCUGAUGGAGCAACGCCGCGUGAGUGAAGAAGGUUUUCGGAUCGUAAAGCUCUGUUGUUGGUGAAGAAGGAUAGAGGCAGUAACUGGUCUUUAUUUGACGGUAAUCAACCAGAAAGUCACGGCUAACUACGUGCCAGCAGCCGCGGUAAUACGUAGUUGGCAAGCGUUGUCCGGAUUUAUUGGGCGUAAAGCGAGCGCAGGCGGAAUGAUAAGUCUGAUGUGAAAGCCCACGGCUCAACCGUGGAACUGCAUCGGAAACUGUCAUUCUUGAGUGCAGAAGAGGAGAGUGGAAUUCCAUGUGUAGCGGUGGAAUGCGUAGAUAUAUGGAAGAACACCAGUGGCGAAGGCGGCUCUCUGGUCUGCAACUGACGCUGAGGCUCGAAAGCAUGGGUAGAGAACAGG